rnacentral:rRNA from 1 species
GACGAACGCUGGCGGCGUGCCUAAUACAUGCAAGUAGAACGCUGAAGGAGGAGCUUGCUUCUCUGGAUGAGUUGCGAACGGGUGAGUAACGCGUAGGUAACCUGCCUGGUAGCGGGGGAUAACUAUUGGAAACGAUAGCUAAUACCGCAUAAGAGUAGAUGUUGCAUGACAUUUGCUUAAAAGGUGCAAUUGCAUCACUACCAGAUGGACCUGCGUUGUAUUAGCUAGUUGGUGGGGUAACGGCUCACCAAGGCGACGAUACAUAGCCGACCUGAGAGGGUGAUCGGCCACACUGGGACUGAGACACGGCCCAGACUCCUACGGGAGGCAGCAGAAGGGAAUCUUCGGCAAUGGACGGAAGUCUGACCGAGCAACGCCGCGUGAGUGAAGAAGGUUUUCGGAUCGUAAAGCUCUGUUGUAAGAGAAGAACGAGUGUGAGAGUGGAAAGUUCACACUGUGACGGUAUCUUACCAGAAAGGGACGGCUAACUACGUG